GUAUGCAAAGGACUUUGCCGAAAUGCUAGCUUAAAUAAAAAAAAAUAUGUCAAUACUGAGGAAGCCUAUGAGCUACAUGGUACCCUGAUCGAGACAAGAGCCAAGAAAAAAAGAGAGGAGGAUGAAGACAGGAGGAGCUCACUAAGGCAAGAAGAUCACCAGUGGGGUCUAUGAUGAUUAGGACUCCACCUCGGAACUGACAUUUCAGAACCCCACAUCGGAGCCGAUGAUAGAGGACUCCUCUUAGAGAUUGGUGACAUAU
rnacentral:lncRNA from 1 species